rnacentral:rRNA from 1 species
GACGAACGCUGGCGGCGUGCCUAAUACAUGCGAGUUGAGCGAUGAAGAUUGGUGCUUGCACCAAUUUGAAGAGCAGCGAACGGGUGAGUAACGCGUGGGGAAUCUGCCUUUGAGCGGGGGACAACAUUUGGAAACGAAUGCUAAUACCGCAUAACAACUUUAAACAUAAGUUUUAAGUUUGAAAGAUGCAAUUGCCUCACUCAAAGAUGAUCCCGCGUUGUAUUAGCUAGUUGGUGAGGUAAAGGCUCACCAAGGCGAUGAUACAUAGCCGACCUGAGAGGGUGAUCGGCCACAUUGGGACUGAGACACGGCCCAAACUCCUACGGGAGGCAGCAGGAGGGAAUCUUCGGCAAUGGACGAAAGUCUGACCGAGCAACGCCGCGUGAGUGAAGAAGGUUGUCGGAUCGUAAAACUCUGUUGGUAGAGAAGAACGUUGGUGAGAGUGGAAAGCUCAUCAAGUGACGGUAACUACCCAGAAAGGGACGGCUAACUACGUG